rnacentral:rRNA from 1 species
UACGUAGGUGGCAAGCGUUAUCCGGAUUCAUUGGGCGUAAAGGGAACGCAGGCGGUCUUUUAAGUCUGAUGUGAAAGCCUUCGGCUUAACCGGAGUAGUGCAUAGGAAACUGGGAGACUUGAGUGCAGAAGAGGAGAGUGGAACUCCAUGUGUAGCGGUGAAAUGCGUAGAUAUAUGGAAGAACACCAGUGGCGAAAGCGGCUCUCUGGUCUGUAACUGACGCUGAGGUUCGAAAGCGUGGGUAGCAAACAGG